rnacentral:rRNA from 1 species
GUGGGGAAUAUUGGACAAUGGGCGAAAGCCUGAUCCAGCCAUGCCGCGUGUGUGAAGAAGGUCUUCGGAUUGUAAAGCACUUUAAGUUGGGAGGAAGGGUAGUAAGUUAAUACCUUGCUGUUUUGACGUUACCGACAGAAUAAGCACCGGCUAACUUCGUGCCAGCAGCCGCGGUAAUACGAAGGGUGCAAGCGUUAAUCGGAAUUACUGGGCGUAAAGCGCGCGUAGGUGGUUUUGUAAGUUGGAGGUGAAAUCCCCGGGCUCAACCUGGGAACUGCCUCCAAAACUGCAUGACUAGAGUACGGUAGAGGGUAGUGGAAUUUCCUGUGUAGCGGUGAAAUGCGUAGAUAUAGGAAGGAACACCAGUGGCGAAGGCGACUACCUGGACUGAUACUGACACUGAGGUGCGAAAGCGUGGGGAGCAAACAGGAUUAGAAACCCGGGUAGUCC